rnacentral:sRNA from 1 species
GGGGUGACAGACAUCUGGGAUUCCCCAGAAGGCUCUGACACCCUCUGCCCGCCCUGUAGCUGUAGUCCUCACAUUGGCUAGGGCUCUGGGGUCGGGCAGGUUUCGGGUGCUCCCAGUGGGCCUCGGGUUCCAGGCAGCUGGUGACAAGCCCCUGUGCUCUCUAGAAAGCCCGUUUUGGCCUGAGUGCGGCUGAGGACAUCACCCCCCGGUUCAGGUGAGACCCAAGCAGGGAGGAAGGACGGGUGGGGAGGAGGAGGGUCUGCCACAGCUCUCCGCACCUCUCCUCUCCCAGGGCAGCCUGUGAGCAGCAAGCUGUGGCUCUGACUCUGCAGGAGGACAGAGCAUCCCUGACGCUUUCAGGGGGGCCCUCGGCACUGGCCUUUGACCUCUCCAAGGUACCAGGCCCAGAGGCAGCCCCCAGGCUGCAGGCGCUGACACUGGGCCUGGCAAAACGCGUGUGGAGCCUGGAGCGGCGACUGGCAGACCCAGAUCCCCAGAGAGGUGGCCCUGGACCUGGAGUCAGGAGGCGGUGUCCAGGAGAGUCGCUCAUCAACCCCGGGUUCAAGAGUAAGAAACCAGCUGGUGGCGUGGACUUCGAUGAGACCUGAAGGUGCAGCACAAGCGUGGCCCCGCGGGGAGUCCGCCUGUGAGGGGAGAGGCAGUCUUUGAGGCCCCCAUCAGAGACCCCCCGCCACCACCUCCACCUGCCUGUCCUGGGCCAGGACUAAGACGGCUCCUCAAAUUCCUUCCCUGUCAAAUAAACAGCUCCCUUGGUUGGA